CACCACCCUCUGCAGCUGGAGCAGGUGUGGCCUGACCUAACAUGCUGAGGUCUGUUGGUCAGAAAUUCCAUAAUCCAGUUGCAGAGGGAGGUGUUAAUGCCCAGGUCUCCAAGUUUAGUGGUCAGCUUGGAGGGAAUGACAGUGUUAAAUGCUGAGCUGAAGUUAACAAACAACAUCCGCACAUAUGUGUUGUUAUUGU